rnacentral:tRNA from 1 species
GGAAGCGUGCCAGAGCGGUUUAUCGGGAUGGUCUUGAAAACCAUUAUACUCGCAAGAGUAUCACAGGUUCGAAUCCUGUCGCUUCCG